GGGCGAUUAGCUCAGCUGGUAGAGCAUCUCGUUUACACCGAGGAGGUCAGCAGUUCGAAUCUGUUAUCGCCCACCA
rnacentral:tRNA from 1 species